CAGAGGGUGCGAGCGUUAAUCGGAAUUACUGGGCGUAAAGGGCGUGUAGGUGGUUAGUUAAGAUUGAUGUGAAAGCCCUGGGCUUAACCUAGGAAUGGCAUCGAUGACUGGCGAGCUAGAGUACUGUAGAGGGCAGUGGAAUUUCCGGUGUAGCGGUGAAAUGCGUAGAGAUCGGAAGGAACACCGGUGGCGAAGGCGGCUGCCUGGACAGUGACUGACACUGAGGCGCGAGAGCGUGGGGAGCAAACAGGAUUAGAUACCCUGGUAGUCCACGCUGUAAACGAUGAAGACUAGAUGUUAGUCAGCGAGACUGAUUAGUAUCGAAGCUAACGCGAUAAGUCUUCCGCCUGGGGAGUACGGCCGCAAGGUUA
rnacentral:rRNA from 1 species